UCCCGGGUAGUUGAGUUGGUACAACGCCACGCUGUUAACGUGGAUAUCGCAGGUUCGAGUCCUGCCUCGGGAGCCA
rnacentral:tRNA from 5 species